UUUCGGGAUAAAUGACAGUGGCGCACGGGUGCGUAACGCGUAUGCAACCUACCCUUAACAGGGGGAUAGCCCGGAGGAAUUCGGAUUAAUACCCCAUAGUAUCUUAAAGCAGCAUUGUUUAAAGAUUAAAGAUUUAUCGGCUAAGGAUGGGCAUGCGUGACAUUAGUUAGUUGGUGAGGUAACGGCUCACCAAGACUUCGAUGUCUAGGGGUUCUGAGAGGAUGAUCCCCCACACUGGUACUGAGACACGGACCAGACUCCUACGGGAGGCAGCAGUAGGGAAUAUUGGACAAUGGACGCAAGUCUGAUCCAGCCAUGCCGCGUGCAGGAUGACAGCCCUCUGGGUUGUAAACUGCUUUUAUAUGAGAAGAAACCCUCAGAUGCGUUUGAGGCUGACGGUAUCAUAUGAAUAAGGAUCGGCUAACUUCGUGCCAGCAGCCGCGGUAAGACGAAGGAUCCAAGCGUUGUCCGGAUUUACUGGGUUUAAAGGAUGCGUAGGCGGACACUUAAGCCAGUGGUGAAAUCCCAUAGCUCAACUACGGAACUGCCAUUGGAACUGUGUGUCUUGAAUUCGGUUGAGGUAGAUGGAAUAUAACAUGUAGCGGUGAAAUGCUUAGAUAUGUUAUAGAACACCGAUUGCGAAGGCAGUCUACUAAGCCGACAUUGACGCUGAGGCAUGAAAGCGUGGGGAGCGAACAGGAUUAGAUACCCUGGUAG
rnacentral:rRNA from 1 species